AUCUCUGACUGCUUUUACCUGUUUUCUAAUGGUCCAGACCCCAGAUGCUUCUUUUCCUUUCUCGAUCUCUUGUACGGGGGACUGGAAUCUCGCCAAGUGUGACAAGAGACACGCCCAUUGAAGGAUGUAGAGGUCACAGUGGUUCACACCUUUAAACCAGCUGUCAGGAGGCAGAAGCAAACUGAACUCUCUGCGUUCAAGGCCAGCCUCAUCUAGACAAUUCCGGGCAGCCAGGGCCACAGAAUGAGGCCCCGCCGGAAGCUUACCUCUUCAAACAGUCUCUCAUUCUCCAACCUGUAGCACUUCCUGCCACCUGAGUGACCGCUCCGUCCAUCCCCGUGGGACUCAGAGGGACCAGAGGCUUCUGGCCCUGGCGAGACAGGAUUGGAGGGCGGGUGGGAGGGCCCUGGCUGAGCGGCUGGUUCGUCCUCCUCAUCAUCAUCCAGCACAAUGAUGCUGUCAGCGGUGGCCAUGGGGGAUCAAACCCCCCUAAGGGAGGAAGUGUUGGAAAGGUCAGAAUUCUGGAAGGGGAAGGGGACCACAGGAAGAGCCCCUCCUGCGGGGCCCCACCCCAUCAGAUGCCCUGGGUCUCCGAAUAGCUUAGUCCUGACCUAAAUGUUUUCAAUGCCUGCCUUUCAAGCAGUUCUGGGGGCAAACCUCCCGAUCAUCUUAAAUCCCCACCCUGGACUCCACCCCUCAGUCAAUUUCCGGUCUCUCAGUUGCGUUUUCCCCUCCCUGUGUCAGCUGUGAAGUUUUUUGUUACUCCUAAUCCCAGUACAAGGUCCGACACUGGC